GGGCUCAUAGCUCAGUUGGUAGAGCACCGCCCUUUUAAGGCGAAUGUCGUAGGUUCAAGUCCUACUGGGCUCA
rnacentral:tRNA from 1 species